rnacentral:lncRNA from 1 species
UAGCACAGUGUUACCAACGUAUAAUCGUAAAAUGAAAAGAGCAUUUAAAGGGCUGUGGAAUCAAAGGCCAGUGGCGGACAUGGGCCUCAUUCUCACUCGUCCAACUUCUCUUUCCAGCAAACCAUACCUUUUCUGCAAUUGUAGCUCAUCAUGUCAGAUGAAUGAAACUGAUUAAGGCAACUCUCUCCUGCCAACUUCACCAUAUUUGGAUGCAGCGUCUCAUCCUUCCAUCUCACCUGUCCAGAUUCGUCUUUUAAACUUGCAGUUGGUACACAAUGGAAUACUAUUCAUCCUUGAAAAAGAAAGAAAU